rnacentral:rRNA from 1 species
CCUACGGGAGGCAGCAGUCGAGAAUUUUUCACAAUGGACGAAAGUCUGAUGGAGCUACGCCUCUUUUAGGAUGACUGUUCUUGGAUUGUAAACUCCUGUCACUGCAGAACAAGGAUAAGCGUAUGAACAGUACGUUUAUUUGAUGGUAUGCGGAGAGGAAGGGACGGCUAACUCUGUGCCAGCAGCCGCGGUAAG